UACGUAGGGGGCAAGCGUUGUCCGGAUUCAUUGGGCGUAAAGAGCUCGUAGGCGGCUUGGCAAGUCGGGUGUGAAAACUCCAGGCUCAACCUGGAGACGCCACCCGAUACUGCCAUGGCUAGAGUCCGGUAGGGGACCACGGAAUUCCUGGUGUGGCGGUGAAAUGCGCAGAUAUCAGGAGGAACACCGGUGGCGAAGGCGGUGGUCUGGGCCGGAACUGACGCUGAGGAGCGAAAGCGUGGGGAGCAAACAGG
rnacentral:rRNA from 1 species